rnacentral:tmRNA from 2 species
GGGGCUGAUUCUGGAUUCGACGGGAUUUGCGAAACCCAAGGUGCAUGCCGAGGGGCGGUUGGCCUCGUAAAAAGCCGCAAAAAAAUAGUCGCAAACGACGAAACCUACGCUUUAGCAGCUUAAUAACCUGCUUAGAGCCCUCUCUCCCUAGCCUCCGCUCUUAGGACGGGGAUCAAGAGAGGUCAAACCCAAAAGAGAUCGCGCGGAUGCCCUGCCUGGGGUUGAAGCGUUAAAACGAAUCAGGCUAGUCUAGUAGUGGCGUGUCCGUCCGCAGGUGCCAGGCGAAUGUAAAGACUGACUAAGCAUGUAGUACCGAGGAUGUAGGAAUUUCGGACGCGGGUUCAACUCCCGCCAGCUCCACCA